UGUUAUGAAUCAUGUAAAUAUCAGAUA
rnacentral:piRNA from 1 species